AUGGGGCACACACAGUUCUAUGGGGCACACACAGUUCUAUGGGGCACAAACGGUUCCUAUGGGGCAGACACCAUCCCUAUGGGGCAGACACCAGCCCUAUGGGGCACACACAGUUCUAUGGGGCACACACAGUUCUAUGGGGCACAAACGGUUCCUAUGGGGCAGACACCAUUCCUAUGGGGCACAAACACUUCCUAUGGGGUACAAACAGUUCCUAUGGGGCAGACACCAUCCCUAUGGGGCAGACACCAGCCCUAUGGGGCACACACAGUUCUAUGGGGCACACACAGUCCUAUGGGGCACACACAGUCCUAUGGGGCAGACGCCAUCCCUAUGGGUCCCACACUGCCCCCCACGGGUCCCACACAUCUCUAUGGAUCCCACUCUGUCCCUCUGGGUUCCACCUCUCCCCUAUGGGUCCCACCUCCACCCCUAUGGGUGCCACUGCACCCCCAUGGGUCCCACCCCAUUCCUGUGACUUCCACCUCUCCCCUAUGGGUCCCAUCACAUCCCUAUGGGUUCGCCCCAUCCCUAUGGGUCCUAUCACAUCCCUAUGGGUCCCACUCUGUCCCUAUGGGUCCCAUCACAUCCCUAUGGGUCCCACUCUGUCCCUAUGGGUCCCACCCCAUUCCUAUGGGUCCGCCCCAUCCCUCUGGGUCCCAUCACAUCCCUAUGGGUCCGCCCCGUCCCUAUGGGUCCCAUCACAUCCCUAUGGGUCCCACCCCAUUCCUAUGGGUCCCACCUCUCCCCUCUGGGUCCCAUCACAUCCCUAUGGGUCCGCCCCGUCCCUAUGGGUCCCAUCACAUCCCUAUGGGUCCCAUCACAUCCCUAUGGGUCCCACUCUGUCCCUCUGGGUCCCAUCACAUCCCCGUGGGUGCCAGCCCACCCCUACCCGUCCCACCCGCCCCAGGGCGGACACGUCCCGUUGUCAGCCUUGAAGUCGGGCCAGAUCCUCAGCACCUCCCGCGGGUCGUAGUGGUGAACCAUGACGGCGCGGCUGAAGCGGCAGCGCUCGUAGGGCAGCCGCACCAUAUUGAAGGCGCCGGGGGGGCCGUCGGUCACCGCGACCCCCAAGGACUUCAGGCAGAGCCCCACGAAGGCGUCCUCCAUGUUGAACAGCGGCAGCUCCUGCGCCGCGCCGAACGCCGCGACGGCGACGUCGCCGGACAGGACGUAAGCGGGACCGGCGCAAUACGGGGGGUACGUGGGGUGGGGGUAAACCUGGGGGGGCACGAACCAUUUGUAUCUGGGGUCCCGCAGCGGCCCGGUGCCGCGGUAGACGUAACCGAGGGCGAAGCGCCGGCGCGGGGGGCGGCGGGGUUGAAGGAUGCGGCGCACCAGGAAAGCCAGGUUGAGGAAGACGUCGGUGUCGGCCUUCAGCACGUAGCUGGCGGCGCGGCAGUGCCGGGACACCCACUGCAGCCCCAUCAGGGUCUUCAGGGUCAGGUUGUGGUACGUGUCCACGAAGUCCUGCUGCAGGACGUCGCGGUGGACGGAGCUCUCCUCCGCCAACAGCCGGCCCAGCUC
rnacentral:lncRNA from 1 species